GUAGAGAACGUGAAGUUGUCGUCGGAAAUACUGGUGCUUUCUUGACGGAAGGUGGCGCUGGCCAGGCGACGGCCGGUUUGGAGCAAGACCAUUGCAUCGUCCAUGAGGCCCAGGUGAUAACAGGCGUGACCAAGCAGUAAAUACCUCCAAUGCCCCUCCUCCUCGCUGCUCCGGCAGAGUCCGGCGAGCACCUUCCGCUUCAGAUCAGCAACGGAGAAGCACCGGAAUCCUCGAUCGCCGUCGGAUCUCUCCUCACCGUCCGGCAGCAGCUUUGCGCGAUGAGCAUCGGAUCCAUCAGACGAUGUCGAUGUAAAUGAAUCGCUCUCAUCCGACCCAGCCGUCCCCGCCCGGUAGCUGGGUAUGUACUCCCUCAACAUCUCCGCGACCUCCCGCCACCGCCGGAGAAACAGCAAACAUCUCGCCUUCAGCUCCAGCGCCG
rnacentral:misc_RNA from 1 species